UACAGAGGGUGCAAGCGUUAAUCGGAAUUACUGGGCGUAAAGCGUGCGUAGACGGUCAUGUAAGUCGGGUGUGAAAGCCCCGGGCUCAACCUGGGAAUUGCAUUCGAGACUGCAUGGCUAGGGUGCGGAAGAGGGAAGCGGAAUUUCCGGUGUAGCGGUGAAAUGCGUAGAUAUCGGAAGGAACACCAGUGGCGAAAGCGGCUUCCUGGUCCAGCACCGACGUCAGGCACGAAAGCGUGGGGAGCAAACAGG
rnacentral:rRNA from 1 species